rnacentral:rRNA from 1 species
GGCUCAUUACAACAGCUAUAAUGUACUUGAUUUUGACCAGUUACGUGGAUAACUGUGGUAAUUCUAGAGCUAAUACAUGCACCAAAGCUCUGGUUAUACACCGAGCGCAUCUAUUAGACUUAAAACCAAUCGGGUUGCUCGUGUGUUAGCACGUUUAGUUGUGCGCAUGCUAGACCCGUAUUUUGGUGACUCUGAAUAGCUUUGCUGAUCGCAUGGUCUUGCACCGGCGACGUAUCUAUCAAGUGUCUGCCUUAUCAACUUUCGAUGGUAGUUUAUGUGCCUACCAUGGUUGUAACGGGUAACGGAGAAUAAGGGUUCGACUCCGGAGAGGGAGCCUGAGAAACGGCUGCCACUUCCAAGGAAGGCAGCAGGCGCGCAAAUUACCCACUCUUAGCACGAGGAGGUAGUGACGAAAAAUAACGAGACCGUACUCUAUGAGGCCGGUUAUCGGAAUGGGUACAAUUUAAACCCGUUAACGAGGAUCAAUGAGAGGGCAAGUCUGGUGCCAGCAGCCGCGGUAACUCCAGCUCUCAAAGUGUAUAUCGUCAUUGCUGCGGUUAAAAAGCUCGUAGUUGGAUUUAGGCCAUACGAUUUGGUGCAUCAGAUUUGAUGUGAACUAAAUUCGUUGGUUGUACGUGCCGCUAUUGCCUACUUUUGUUGUGUGCUCUGCCAUCAUCUGUGGCUGGCUCAUGAUGAGGUAGGCGAAGUUUGGCAUAUGCUGGUUUUCGCUAUGUUGCCUUUAUCGGUUGCGUAGUGCGACUGGCGAGUUUACCUUGAAAAAAUUAGAGUGCUCAACGCGGGCUAGCGCUUGAAUACUCGUGCAUGGAAUAAUGGAAUAGGAUCUUGGUUCUAUUUUGUUGGUUUUCUGAGCCAAGAUAAUGGUUAAUAGGGACAGACGGGGGCAUUCGUAUCGCUGCGUGAGAGGUGAAAUUCUUGGACCGCAGCGAGACGCCCUACUGCGAAAGCAUUUGCCAAGAAUGUCUUCAUUAAUCAAGAACGAAAGUCAGAGGUUCGAAGGCGAUCAGAUACCGCCCUAGUUCUGACCGUAAACGAUACCAACUAGCGUUCCGUCAGUGGUAAUUACGCCUUGACGGGCAGCUUGCCGGAAACGAAAGUGUUUCGGUUCCGGGGGAAGUAUGGUUGCAAAGCUGAAACUUAAAGAAAUUGACGGAAGGGCACCACCAGGAGUGGAGCCUGCGGCUUAAUUUGACUCAACACGGGAAAACUCACCUGGCCUAGACACCGUGAGGAUUGACAGAUUGAGAGCUCUUUCUUGAUUCGGUGGUUGGUGGUGCAUGGCCGUUCUUAGUUGGUGGAGUGAUUUGUCUGGUUAAUUCCGAUAACGAGCGAGACUCUAGCCUACUAAAUAGUCAACAGACGCAUAUAAAUUUGCGACUGUGCUGACUUCUUAGAGGGACAAGCGGUAUUUAGCCGCAUGAAGUUGAGCAAUAACAGGUCUGUGAUGCCCUUAGAUGUUCAGGGCUGCACGCGCGCUACACUGGAGGAAUCAGCGUGCACUGAUCCAUUGUCGAAAGGCAUUGGUAACCAGUUGAAAAUCCUUCGUGCUCGGGAUCGGCAAUUGCAAUUAUUUGCCGUGAACGAGGAAUUCCUAGUAAGUGUGAGUCAUCAGCUCACGCUGAUUACGUCCCUGCCCUUUGUACACACCGCCCGUCGCUGCCCGGGACUGAGCCGUUUCGAGAAAAGCGGGGAUCGCUACAUCGAGACUGAACAAGUGGAGAUGCAUUAGUGAGAACCGCGU